GUGGAAGAGGAGGUGGUAGCCAACACUGUUUUAUAAAUAUAUAUAUAUAUAAAUAAAUAUUUUUUUUUUUUUUGAAUUGGGAUAGCCCCCGAAAUAUUGGGACAUAAAAAAAGACAACUCUGUUCCGCAGAGUAGCUGUUGACAUUAUAGUUGCGCAGGCACUUUGUUGACUCUAGAGAACAUCGGGCCAAUCGCACAUCCCCGUGACGGCGACUUUGCAUUCGGAUGUCAUCCAUAUCAACUUUCAAUGCCAGUUUAUGCACCUACCAUGGUGACCACGGGUAACGGGGAAUCAGGGUUCCAUUCCGUACAGUGACCCUGAGAAACGGCUACCACAUGUAAGGAAGGCA